GAUCCUGGCUCAGGAUGAACGCUAGCGGCAGGCUUAACACAUGCAAGUCGAGGGGCAGCGUGGAGUAGCAAUACUCCGCCGGCGACCGGCGCACGGGUGCGUAACGCGUAUGCAACCUACCUUUAACAGGGGCGAUAACACUGAGAAAUUGGUACUAAUUCCCCAUAACAUUCGAGAAGGCAUCUUCUUGGGUUAAAAAACUCCGGUGGUUAAAGAUGGGCAUGCGUUGUAUUAGCUAGUUGGUGAGGUAACGG
rnacentral:rRNA from 1 species